CUACGGGUUGCAGCAGCGAGGAAUAUUGCACAAUGGGGGGAACCCUGAUGCAGCAACGCCGCGUGGAGGAUGACGCAUUUCGGUGUGUAAACUCCUUUUAUAUGUCAAGAAAAUGACGGUAGCAUAUGAAUAAGCACCGGCUAACUCCGUGCCAGCAGCCGCGGUAAUACGGAGGGUGCAAGCGUUACUCGGAAUCACUGGGCGUAAAGGACGCGUAGGCGGGUUGGAAAGUCAGGUGUGAAAUUCUACAGCUUAACUGUAGAACUGCACUUGAAACUUCUAAUCUAGAGUAUGGGAGGGGGAGAUGGAAUUAGUGGUGUAGGGGUAAAAUCCGUAGAUAUCACUAGGAAUACCUAAAGCGAAGGCGAUCUCCUGGAACAUUACUGACGCUAAGGCGUGAAAGCGUGGGGAGCAAACAGGAUUAGAUACCCCGGUAGUC
rnacentral:rRNA from 1 species